rnacentral:rRNA from 1 species
GGAUUGCCCCAGUAACGGCGAGUGAAGCGGCAACAGCUCAAAUUUGAAAUCUGGCUCCCUCGGGGUCCGAGUUGUAAUUUGCAGAGGGUUCUUCGGCGUCGGCCCCGGGCCGAGUCCCUUGGAACAGGGCGCCCCAGAGGGUGAGAGCCCCGUCCGCCCGGGACAUCGACGCCGCGUGAAGUCCCUUCGACGAGUCGAGUUGUUUGGGAAUGCAGCUCUAAGCGGGAGGUAAAUUUCUUCUAAGGCUAAACAUCGGCCAGAGACCGAUAGCGCACAAGUAGAGUGAUCGAAAGAUGAAAAGCACUUUGGAAAGAGAGUCAAAAAGCACGUGAAAUUGUUGAAAGGGAAGCUCUUGCCGCCAGACUUGCCGCGGUUGCUCAGCCGCCCCUCGGGGCGGUGCACUCUUCCGCCGGCAGGCCAGCGUCGGCUCGGGCGGCCGGACAAAGGCCCCGGGAAUGUGGCCCCCCUCGGGGGGUGUUAUAGCCCGGGGUGCAAUGCGGCCAGCCCGGGUCGAGGACCGCGUUCUGCCAGGACGCUGGCGUAAUGGCUGCAAGCGACCCGUCUUGAAACACGGACCAAGGAGUCGAAAACUUGUGCGAGUGUUUGGGUGUCAAACCCGGACGCGCAAUGAAAGUGAACGGAGGUGGGAACCCCCCCGGGGCGCACCAUCGACCGAUCCUGAUGUCUUCGGAUGGAUUUGAGUAAGAGCGCAAUUUUUCGGACCCGAAAGAUGGUGAACUAUACCUAAAUAGGGUGAAGCCAGAGGAAACUCUGGUGGAGGCUCGCAGCGGUUCUGACGUGCAAAUCGAUCGUCAAAUUCGGGUAUAGGGGCGAAAG